GCUAAUGUGUCUUGGCUAAUGUGUCUUGGCUAAUGUGUCUCGGCUAAGGUGUAUUGGCUAAUGUGUCUUGGCUAAGGUGUCUUGGCUAAUGUGUCUUGGCUAAGGUGUCUUGGCUAAUGUGUCUUGGCUAAGGUGUCUUGGCUAAUGUGUCUUGGCUAAGGUGUCUUGGCUAAGGUGUCUUGGCUAAUGUGUCUCGGCUAAUGUGUCUUGGCUAAGGUGUCUUGGCUAAUGUGUCUUGGCUAAAGUGUCUUGGCUAAUGUGUCUUGGCUAAGGUGUCUUGGCUAAUGUGUCUUGGCUAAUGUGUCUUGGCUAAGGUUUCUUGGCUAAGGUGUCUUGGCUAAUGUGUCUUGGCUAAUGUGUCUUGGCUAAGGUGUCUUGGCUAAUGUGUCUCGGCUAAGGUGUCUUGGCUAAGGUGUCUUGGCUAAUGUGUCUUGGCUAAGGUGUCUUGGCUAAGGUGUCUUGGCUAAGGUGUCUUGGCUAAUGUGUCUUGGCUAAGGUGUCUUGGCUAAGGUGUCUUGGCUAAGGUGUCUUGGCUAAGGUGUCUUGGCUAAAGUGUCUUGGCUAAUGUGUCUUGGCUAGGGUGUCUUGGCUAAGGUGUCUUGGCUAAUGUGUCUUGGCUAAGGUGUCUUGGCUAAGGUGUCUUGGCUAAGGUGUCUUGGCUAAUGUGUCUUGGCUAAUGUGUCUUGGCUAAUGUGUCUUGGAUAAGGUGUCUUGGCUAAUGUGUCUUGGCUAAUGUGUCUUGGCUAAGGUGUCUUGGCUAAGGUGUCUUGGCUAAUGUGUCUUGGCUAAGGUGUCUUGGCUUAUGUGUCUUGGCUAAGGUGUCUUGGCUAAGGUGUCUUGGCUAAGGUGUCUUGGCUAAAGUGUCUUGGCUAAGGUGUCUUGGCUAAGGUGUCUUGGCUAAGGUGUCUCGGCUAAUGUGUCUUGGCUAAGGUGUCUUGGCUAAUGUGUCUUGGCUAUGGUGUCUUGGCUAAUGUGUCUCGGCUAAUGUGUCUUGGCUAAUGUGUCUUGGCUAAGGUGUCUUGGCUAAUGUGUCUUGGCUAAUGUGUCUUGGUUAAGGUGUCUUGGCUAAGGUGUCUUGGCUAAAGUGUCUUGGCUAAUGUGUCUUGGCUAAGGUGUCUUGGCUAAGGUGUCUUGGCUAAGGUGUCUUGGCUAAUGUGUCUUGGCUAAUGUGUCUUGGCUAAUGUGUCUUGGCUAAUGUGUCUCGGCUAAGGUGUCUUGGCUAAGGUGUCUUGGCUAAUGUGUCUUGGCUAAUGUGUCUUGGCUAAGGUGUCUUGGCUAAGGUGUCUUGGCUAAGGUGUCUUGGCUUAGGUGUCUUGGCUAAGGUGUCUUGGCUAAGGUGUCUUGGCUAAUGUGUCUUGGCUAAGGUGUCUUGGCUAAUGUGUCUUGGCUAAAGUGUCUUGGCUAAUGUGUCUUGGCUAAUGUGUCUUGGCUAAUGUGUCUUGGCUAAUGUGUCUUGGCUAAUGUGUCUUGGCUAAAGUGUCUUGGCUAAUGUGUCUUGGCUAAGGUGUCUUGGCUAAUGUGUCUUGGCUAAUGUGUCUUGGCUAAUGUGUCUCGGCUAAUGUGUCUUGGCUAAUGUGUCUUGGCUAAUGUGUCUUGGCUAAUGUGUCUUGGCUAAGGUGUCUUGGCUAAUGUGUCUUGGCUAAGGUGUCUUGGCUAAGGUGUCUUGGCUAAGGUGUCUUGGCUAAUGUGUCUCGGCUAAUGUGUCUUGGCUAAUGUGUCUUGGCUAAUGUGUCUUGGCUAAGGUGUCUUGGCUAAUGUGUCUCGGCUAAGGUGUCUUGGCUAAUGUAUCUUGGCUAAAGUGUCUUGGCUAAUGUGUCUUGGCUAAGGUGUCUUGGCUAAGGUGUCUUGGCUAAUGCGUCUUGGCUAAUGUGUCUUGGCUAAGGUGUCUUGGCUAAGGUGUCUUGGCUAAGGUGUCUUGGCUAAGGUGUCUUGGCUAAUGUGUCUUGGCUAAUGUGUCUUGGCUAAUGUGUCUUGGCUAAGGUGUCUUGGCUAAUGCGUCUUGGCUAAUGUGUCUUGGCUAAGGUGUCUUGGCUAAGGUGUCUUGGCUAAGGUGUCUUGGCUAAGGUGUCUUGGCUAAUGUGUCUCGGCUAGUGUGUCUUGGCUAAUGUGUCUUGGCUAAGGUGUCUUGGCUAAGGUGUCUCGGCUAAUGUGUCUUGGCUAAUGUGUCUUGGCUAAUGUGUCUUGGCUAAGGUGUCUUGGCUAAGGUGUCUUGGCUAAUGUGUCUUGGCUAAGGUGUAUUGGCUAAGGUGUCUUGGCUAAGGUGUCUUGGCUAAGGUGUCUUGGCUAAGGUGUAUUGGCUUAGGUGUCUUGGCUAAUGUGUCUUGGCUAAGGUGUCUUGGCUAAUGUGUCUUGGCUAAGGUGUCUUGGCUAAUGUGUCUUGGAUAAGGUGUCUUGGCUAAUGUGUCUUGGCUAAGGUGUCUUGGCUAAUGUGUCUUGGCUAUGGUGUCCUGGCUAAGGUGUCUUGGCUAAUGUGUCUUGGCUAAUGUGUCUUGGCUAAGGUGUCUUGGCUAAGGUGUCUUGGCUAAGGUGUCUUGGCUAAGGUGUCCUGGCUAAGGUGUCUU